rnacentral:rRNA from 1 species
CCAGACUCCUACGGGAGGCAGCAGUGGGGGAUAUUGCACAAUGGGGGAAACCCUGAUGCAGCGAUGCCGCGUGAGUGAAGACGGCCUUCGGGUUGUAAAGCUCUGUCGCAGAGGACGAAAAUGACGGUACUCUGCAAGAAAGCUCCGGCUAACUACGUGCCAGCAGCCGCGGUAAUACGUAGGGGGCAAGCGUUAUCCGGAUUUACUGGGUGUAAAGGGAGCGUAGACGGCAUGGCAAGUCUGAAGUGAAAGCCCGGGGCUCAACCGCGGGACUGCUUUGGAAACUGUUAAGCUGGAGUGCAGGAGAGGUAAGUGGAAUUCCUAGUGUAGCGGUGAAAUGCGUAGAUAUUAGGAGGAACACCAGUGGCGAAGGCGGCUUACUGGACUGUAACUGACGUUGAGGCUCGAAAGCGUGGGGAGCAAACAGGAUUAGAUACCCUAGUAU